rnacentral:RNase_P_RNA from 1 species
GCGGAGGGCCGGAUGGCCGCGGGCCCCUAGGGGUCCGAGGAAAGUCCGGACUCCACAAGGCAACGGUGCCGGGUAACGCCCGGCGGGGGCAACCCCAGGGACAGCGCCACAGAGAACAGACCGCCGCGCCUGUCGCGGCAAGGGUGAAACGGUGCGGUAAGAGCGCACCGGGGGACGGGCAACCGGACCCGCAUGGCAAGCCCCACCGGGAGCAAUGCCGAAUAGGGAUCCCGCGCGGGCCGGUCGCGUCAGCGAUACCGCCGCAGGGCCGCCUUGGCCCAGGGGAUCCGGGUUGGCAGCUUGAGGCGCCGGGGCAACCCGGCGUCCAGAGGAAUGGUCAUCGAACCGGGGGCGACUCCGGGGAACAGAAUCCGGCUUACAGGCCCUCCGCGCAU